rnacentral:ncRNA from 1 species
GACUACGCCCUGAAUUUAAGCAUAUUAAUUAGGGGAGGAAAAGAAACUAACAAGGAUUUUCUUAGUAGCGGCGAGCGAAAAGAAAUCAGUUCAGCACUAAGUCACUUUGUCUAUAUGGCAAAUGUGAGAUGCAGUGUACGGAACAUCAACAUUCUAGUAUGAGAAGUUAACGAUUUAAGUCCUUCUUAAAUGAGGCCAUUUACCCAUAGAGGGUGCCAGGCCCGUAUAACGUUAAUGAUUACUAGAUGGUGUUUCCAAAGAGUCGUGUUGCUUGAUAGUGCAGCACUAAGUGGGUGGUAAACUCCAUCUAAAACUAAAUAUAACCAUGAGACCGAUAGUAAACAAGUACCGUGAGGGAAAGUUGAAAAGAACUCUGAAUAGAGAGUUAAAUAGUACGUGAAACUGCUUAGAGGUUAAGCCCGAUGAACCUGAAUAUCCGUUAUGGAAAAUUCAUCAUUAGAAUUGUAAUAUUUUAAACAAUAUUAUAAUAAUAGUGUGCAUUUUUUCCAUAUAAGGACAUUGUAAUCUAUUAGCAUAAAUAUUUAUCAUAAAAUUAUGUCUGAUUGCUUAUUUGAAUUAUAUGCUUGGCAUUUUAACAUAAAAUAAAAGAUAUUGUUUGGUCAAGUAACAGCAGAGAUAACACCGACGGCUGCGGACAUCAUCCAACAGCAGAAAAUAACAAUCAUAAUUACAGCCUAAGAGCAAAUAGUUUUUUUGCGCGCUCUUUGUAAGCUGCUGUCCACUCUCCUUCUGAAUUGCUUUGCUUGCAUUGCUGCCCUUCGCUCUAACCGGCGAGCGUCUUAUUGGAGUUUCGUUUCGAUUCGCUUUACAUAUUGUUAUAACCAGUCAGUCUUUCGUUUUGAUCGCAACCUAGGCACAACUAAUUCGAGUUGGCUGCCAAGCAACAAUUUAAAACUUAUAAAUUCUAAUAAGUGCCCUGCGCGGCAAAUAAAUCCAUUUGAAAACUAAUCUAAGUGUUUGAAUUUCGCUGCACAAGCAGUUAGAAUUAAUUGGUUGCAAAAAAGCUUGCAACUACACAUUUUGGUGACCCCGACGUGAUUUUUCUUUCUUUCAUUUUUUCUAUUUUUUCUUGUACUUCGUUCUUGUCGUGUCAACGGACAGUUAUCAGUUCGGGCAAAGCUGUGUGGUGAGCCGUUUGCUUGCGCAUCUGCAUACAGUUGGUUGUUAUACAUAAACGCCGUAGCAAAUCCCCGCUAAUCGUUGCGCGCUAUAACCCGCUAUACGCUAUCUCGCUCGAACGAACACUUGCGCGAUCAGACUUGUAUUGUAGUUCGGCUGUGUGAACCUUGUUGUGCGCUACAUUCAUAAUGUUUGAUGAAGGUGCAAGUGCAAAUGGAAAUGAUGAGGCGACAUCAGCUAGUCAAGUGGCGGUUGGAACCCAGGCUGCUGUUUUUAAAAUAAAGAUCAAGAAUUUAACUGGAA